UAGACGUGGGGGCACCCUGACCGCAAUGCCGCGUGAGUGAAGAAGGCCUUCGGGUUGUAAAGCUCUUUUGUCAGGGAAGAAACACCGGCUCUAACACAGUCCGGGAAUGACGGUACCUGAAGAAUAAGCACCGGCUAACUACGUGCCAGCAGCCGCGGUAAUACGUAGGGCGCAAGCGUUAAUCGGAAUUACUGGGCGUAAAGCGUGCGCAGGCGGUUAUACAAGACAGGCGUGAAAUCCCCGGGCUUAACCUGGGAAUGGCGCCUGUGACUGUAUAGCUAGAGUGUGUCAGAGGGGGGUAGAAUUCCACGUGUAGCAGUGAAAUGCGUAGAUAUGUGGAGGAAUACCAAUGGCGAAGGCAGCCCCCUGGGAUAACACUGACGCUCAUGCACGAAA
rnacentral:rRNA from 1 species